rnacentral:tRNA from 1 species
GCGGGCGUAGCUCAGUUGGUAGAGCGUGAGUUUCCCAAACUCAAGGUCGCGGGUUCGAGACCCGUCGCCCGCU